GGAGGAGGCCUACAGUAGUGGGGCCCGGGACCUGUUCAGAGAGACCAGGAACACACUGAACCGAGAGAUCAGGAAAGUCAAGAGGUGUUAUGGGGAGAGCCUGGAGAGACACCUCCCUGCCAAUCCUGAUCCCUCAACAGUGUGGAAAGGCAUCACGGGCUUCAAGAAACCAACCCACCGUCCUGUAGAGAACCCAAGGCUUGAAAACCAGCUAAACAGGUUUUACUGCAAGUUUGAACGGUCUACCCACACAACAAGACCUCCUGCAGUACAAUCAACAUACACACCUCCACCCACAACCCCUCUGUCUACACCUCCAUCGUCGUUAUCACCUACUGUCUCUCUUUCAGAAGCCGCGCCUGCACCUCAGAUCUGCGAGGAGGAGGUGUCAGAUAUUCCGGAGACAAAAGGUCAGGAAGGCACCAGGCCCAGAUGGCGUGUCCCCCUCCUGCCUCAAAGUCUGUGCUGAGCAACUGGUACCCACCUUUGCACGGAUCUUCAACCUUUCCCUGGAGCCAUGUGAGGUUCCCUCGUGCUUCAAGAGCUCCACCAUUGUACCGGUGGCCAAGAAGCCCGCCAGCAUAGGUUUGAAUGAUUACAGACCUGUCGCCCUGACAUCUGUGGUCAUGAAAUCAUUUGAGAGGUUGGUGCCGCGCCCCAAGGACCCUAACCACUUCAGGCCUAUUGCCUUGAAUUCCCACCUGAUGAAGACUUUGGAGAGGAUCAUCCUGGGUCACCUGCGUUCACUGGUGGGAGCGCAGCUGGACCCCCUGCAGUUUGCUUACCGGCCUGGUGUUGGGGUGGACGAUGCAGUGAUUUAUUUACUGCACAGAUCACUGCUUCACCUGGAGGACAUCGGGAGCACUAGGAAGAUCAUGUUAUUCGAUUUCUCCAGCACUUUUAACACAAUCCAGCCAUCACUGCUCAGGGUGAAGAUGGAGAAGGCGGGAGUGGACCUACGCUUGGCUGCAUGGACUACAGACUUCCUCACCAACAGUAGAAGUAUGUGAGGUUACAUCGCUGUGAGUCUGACAUGGUGCGCUGCAGCACAGGUGUCCCCCAGGGGGAACGAUCUGGAAUACAGGACGGUCAUCAAGGACUUUGUCAGCUGGUGUGAGCUCAACCAGCUUCAGCUGAACACCAGCAAGACGAAGGAGAUGAUUGUAAGCUUCAGGAGGACAGCGCCCCACU